CGUAGGUGGCGAGCGUUGUCCGGAAUUACUGGGUGUAAAGGGCGUGUAGGCGGGAAGACAAGUCAGAUGUGAAAUACCGUGGCUUAACCACGGGGCUGCAUCUGAAACUGUUUUUCUUGAGUGUCGGAGAGGAAAGUGGAAUUCCCAGUGUAGCGGUGAAAUGCGUAGAUAUUGGGAGGAACACCAGUGGCGAAGGCGACUUUCUGGACGAUAACUGACGCUGAGGCGCGAAAGCGUGGGGAGCAAACAGGAUUAGAUACCCUGGUAGUCCACGCUGUAAACGAUGGAUACUAGGUGUGGGAGGUAUCGACCCCUUCCGUGCCGCAGUUAACACAAUAAGUAUCCCACCUGGGGAGUACGGCCGCAAGGUUG
rnacentral:rRNA from 1 species